rnacentral:rRNA from 1 species
AAAUUGAAGAGUUUGAUCAUGGCUCAGAUUGAACGCUGGCGGCAGGCCUAACACAUGCAAGUCGAACGGUAACAGGAAGCAGCUUGCUGCUUUGCUGACGAGUGGCGGACGGGUGAGUAAUGUCUGGGAAACUGCCUGAUGGAGGGGGAUAACUACUGGAAACGGUGGCUAAUACCGCAUAACGUCGCAAGACCAAAGAGGGGGACCUUCGGGCCUCUUGCCAUCAGAUGUGCCCAGAUGGGAUUAGCUAGUUGGUGAGGUAAC